GUGGGGAAUAUUGGACAAUGGGCGAAAGCCUGAUCCAGCCAUGCCGCUUGUGUGAAGAAGGUCUUCGGAUUGUAAAGCACUUUAAGUUGGGAGGAAGGGCAGUAAGUUAAUACCUUGCUGUUUUGACGUUACCGACAGAAUAAGCACCGGCUAACUUCGUGCCAGCAGCCGCGGUAAUACGAAGGGUGCAAGCGUUAAUCGGAAUUACUGGGCGUAAAGCGCGCGUAGGUGGUUCGUUAAGUUGGAUGUGAAAGCCCCGGGCUCAACCUAGGAACAGCAUACAAAACUGGCGAGCUAGAGUACGGUAGAGGGUGGUGGAAUUUCCUGUGUAGCGAUGAAAUGCGUAGAUAUAGGAAGGAACACCAGUGGCGAAGGCGACCACCUGGACUGAUACUGACACUGAGGUGCGAAAGCGUGGGGAGCAAACAGGAUUAGAAACCCCAGUAGUCC
rnacentral:rRNA from 1 species